AGCGAACGCUGGCGGCAGGCCUAACACAUGCAAGUCGAACGAAGUCUUCGGACUUAGUGGCGGACGGGUGAGUAACACGUGGGAACGUGCCUUUAGGUUCGGAAUAACUCAGGGAAACUUGUGCUAAUACCGAAUGUGCCCUUCGGGGGAAAGAUUUAUCGCCUUUAGAGCGGCCCGCGUCUGAUUAGCUAGUUGGUGAGGUAAAGGCUCACCAAGGCGACGAUCAGUAGCUGGUCUGAGAGGAUAAUCAGCCACAUUGGGACUGAGACACGGCCCAAACUCCUACGGGAGGCAGCAGUGGGGAAUUUUGCGCAAUGGGCGAAAGCCUGACGCAGCCAUGCCGCGUGAAUGAUGAAGGUCUUAGGAUUGUAAAAUUCUUUCACCGGGGACGAUAAUGACGGUACCCGGAGAAGAAGCCCCGGCUAACUUCGUGCCAGCCGCCGCCGUAAAAC
rnacentral:rRNA from 1 species